rnacentral:rRNA from 1 species
CUUGAACACUAUAAGAGGUCCAGCCUGCCCAGUGAAAUAAUUCAACGGCCGCGGUAUCCUAACCGUGCGAAGGUAGCGUAAUCACUUGUUCUCUAAAUCAGGACUAGUAUGAACGGCACCACGAGGGUUACACUGUCUCCUUUUUCCAAUUAGUGAACUUAAUCUUCCCGUGAAGAAGCGGGAAUAAACUUAUAAGACGAGAAGACCCUAUGGAGCUUUAAACAACCUAGCAUUUGCCCUCACCUUAAUAUUUCAGAAUUACUAGACUCUGCAUAAUGACUAGAAGUUUUAGGUUGGGGUGACCGCGGAGUAAAACUCAUCCUCCACGAUGAAAGAAUUUUUAUUCUUAACCAAGAUAUACUUAUCUAUGUAUCAAUUUACUGACAUCCAUUGACCCAAUAUAUUUGAUCAACGAAC